CCUACGGGAGGCAGCAGUAGGGAAUCUUCCACAAUGGGCGAAAGCCUGAUGGAGCAACGCCGCGUGGGUGAAGAAGGUCUUCGGAUCGUAAAACCCUGUUGUUAGAGAAGAAAGUGCGUGAGAGUAACUGUUCACGUUUCGACGGUAUCUAACCAGAAAGCCACGGCUAACUACGUGCCAGCAGCCGCGGUAAUACGUAGGUGGCAAGCGUUAUCCGGAUUGAUUGGGCGUAAAGGUAACGCAGGCGGUCUUUUAAGUCUGAUGUGAAAGCCUUCGGCUUAACCGGAGUAGUGCAUUGGAAACUGGGAGACUUGAGUGCAGAAGAGGAGAGUGGAACGCCAUGUGUAGCGGUGAAAUGCGUAGAUAUAUGGAAGAACACCAGUGGCGAAAGCGGCUCUCUGGUCUGUAACUGACGCUGAGGUUCGAAAGCGUGGGUAGCAAACAGGAUUAGAUACCCCAGUAGUC
rnacentral:rRNA from 1 species